UUAUAAAAUCUAAUAGCCUCUUGACAAAUUCUGUUUAAGUUUGGCUUAUUGCUUUCAUGUUUAUAAGUAUUAUUUGAACAGGAGCUCUAAAAGAAUUUAAAAAAGCAAAAUCCAUUACCUCCUCAAACGUUCCGUGUGUUGUGGGCUAUAAAAAUUACAUUCCAAGUUAUGUUCGAUGCUUGCACAAAGGAAUCCUAUCCUUUUACCUUAAAGAUAACGUCAUAAUGGUGGUCAGUGAAAAGUCAGCUUACACCAAAGUCUUAAAACCAAAAAUAUUUCCGUAGUGCAUGUCAGUAGAAACAUUUUAAGUCCCCUGAAGAAUUGAAAUAUUUGCUUUCACUUCCAGCAAAACUUUUUUUUAUUACGAUGAUACCUCUUUAA